rnacentral:lncRNA from 1 species
GUCAGAAGCAUCUCAUAAAGUGUAUGGACAUAAGUGUCCCUCAGACCUGAGAUCACCAUAGUGACUUACAAACAACUCACUGUGCUUUGAUACUGGACUACUUGCAUUUCUAAUGCAGUGACGGAAGGCUAUUGGGUACAGUCAAGUACUUGUGAGUCUGUGUGUGGAUCAAGAUGGGAUUGACCCCUCCAGAUUAUAGGAGUUAAUGCAUCACUAUAUUUUAAUUUAGUAAAACCUAAGCUUCGAUAAUCCAUAUGAUGGAUGUGAAAGAUUGAAAUACAAUGUAGAUGACUCAUCCAAGAUUGACAGUCAAACCC